rnacentral:rRNA from 1 species
UAACACGUAGGGAACCUGCCCGUGCACCGGGAAUACGCUCUGGAAACGGAGAACAAAUCCCGAUGUACAGGAAGGAGGCAUCUUCUUUCUGUGAAACAUCCUUUAGGGGAUGGGGCGCGGAUGGACCUGCGGUGCAUUAGUUGGUUGGCGGGGUAAAGGCCCACCAAGACGAUGAUGCAUAGCCGGCCUGAGAGGGCGGACGGCCACAUUGGGACUGAGACACGGCCCAGACUCCUGCGGGAGGCAGCAGUAGGGAAUUUUCGUCAAUGGGCGCAAGCCUGAACGAGCGAUGCCGCGUGAGUGAAGAAGGCCUUCGGGUCGUAAAGCUCUGUUGCGGGGGAAAAAAGGCAGCAUCAGGAAAUGGGUGCUGACUGAUGGUGCCCCGCCAGAAAGUCACGGCUAACUACGUGCCAGCAGCCGCGGUAAUACGUAGGUGGCGAGCGUUAUCCGGAAUGAUUGGGCGUAAAGGGUGCGCAGGCGGUCCUGCAAGUCUGGAGUGAAACGCAUGAGCUCAACUCAUGCAUGGCUUUGGAAACUGGAGGACUGGAGAGCAGGAGAGGGCGGUGGAACUCCAUGUGUAGCGGUAAAAUGCGUAGAUAUAUGGAAGAACACCAGUGGCGAAGGCGGCCGCCUGGCCUGUUGCUGACGCUGAGGCACGAAAGCGUGGGGAGCAAAUAGGAUUAGAUACCCUAGUAGUCC